rnacentral:lncRNA from 1 species
UUAAGUCAUCAGGCGCCCACCUGGAGAAUGAGAGAAUUUAUUUCAAGUUUUAAGUCAUUAGUCGCCCACCUGGAGAAUGAGGGAAUUCAUUUCAAGUUUUAAGUCAACAUCAGGCGCCCACCUGGAGAACGAGGGAAUUCAUUUCAAGUUUUAAGUCAUCAGGCGCCCACCUGGAGAACGAGGGAAUUUAUUUCAAGUUUUAAGUCAUCAGGCGCCCACCUGGAGAACGGGGGAAUUCAUUUCAAGUUUUAAGUCAUCAGAAGCCCACCUGGAGAACGAGGGAAUUCAUUUCAAGUUUUAAGUCAUCAGGCACCC